rnacentral:lncRNA from 1 species
UGCAGUGGUGACUGGAGAGAGGGAACCCAUGGUCAGAUUAUAAAAAAAUGUGUAUAAAGGUGUAUUGAAUUGUACUGCUUUUUAAGAGUUUGCAACCAUGGCACUUGGCACUUACAGCCUACUAUCCGGAUAAAGCUAAGGUGUCAGAGGACUCCGUGGGUCUGAUGAGGGAUUAUCAGUGCCAACCUGAUAGCCCCUCCACUGUGACCUCAAUACUAACAAUGCUUGAAGGGGGGUUCCUGAUAUCUGGGCCACAGCACUUGACCCUUUUUUGUACUCUGUGAGCCCAUUUCUCAGUCUUCCUCUUUUCUUGUACUCCCUAGGGAGAAGGAAACCAGUUGGUUCAAGCUAGUAGACAGUUGGGCCUUUCAUGAAGAGGAUGUCUCACAGAUGGCAGCCAUGAGUUAUAUGCAGAUUGAUGCUGCUAUCUAGGAGCAGUUUCUGGAGAACCAGUUGCAAAUGUACCAGCCUUCUCCCUCGCUCUCCAGUCUUCUGGUCAUAACCAUAGAAAUUCUAACUACUUGUGCAUGGGAUUGCUCUGUGAUGGAAUAGUGUCCAUUUUCCCAAAGGAGU